rnacentral:rRNA from 1 species
UACAGAGGGGGCAAGCGUUAUUCGGAAUUAUUGGGCGUAAAGGGCGCGUAGGCGGCCAGGCAAGUGGAAGGUGAAAUCCCUCGGCUUAACCGAGGAACUGCCCUCCAAACUGCUUGGCUUGAGACCGGGAGAGGUGAGUGGAAUUCCCAGUGUAGCGGUGAAAUGCGUAGAUAUUUGGGAGGAACACCAGUGGCGAAGGCGGCUCACCUGGGACCGGUACUGACGCUGAUGCGCGAAAGCGUGGGGAGCAAACGGGG